AUUGAACGCUGGCGGCAGGCUUAACACAUGCAAGUCGAGCGGAGAUGAGGUGCUUGCACCUUAUCUUAGCGGCGGACGGGUGAGUAAUGCUUAGGAAUCUGCCUAUUAGUGGGGGACAACAUUCCGAAAGGAAUGCUAAUACCGCAUACGUCCUACGGGAGAAAGCAGGGGAUAUUCGGACCUUGCGCUAAUAGAUGAGCCUAAGUCGGAGUAGCUCGUUGGUGGGGUAAAGGCCUACCAAGGCGACGAUCUGUAGCGGGUCUGAGAGGAUGAUCCGCCACAUUGGGACUGAGACACUGCCCAGACUCCUACGGGAGGCAGCAGUGGGGAAUAUUGGACAAUGGGGGGAACCCUGAUCCAGCCAUGCCGCGUGUGUGAAGAAGGCCUUAUGGUUGUAAAGCACUUUAAGCGAGGAGGAGGCUACUGAGACUAAUACUCUUGGAUAGUGGACGUUACUCGCAGAAUAAGCACCGGCUAACUCUGUGCCAGCCGCCGCCGUAAUAC
rnacentral:rRNA from 1 species